GGAACUUCUCAGCCUCCAAAAUUGACAUUGCCCAGUGAUCCUGGGGAUGCCGUUUGGAAGCUGCAUGCCUUUGACAUCUUUAGGGUUGAAGAGAUGAUGCUCCCCAUGGGGGUUGGCCAGUGAUCCAUUCGUUUCUCAUGGAGUCUUCGGAGGUCUACGGGGCCUUCCUGGGGUUGCACCUCAUUUCCCCCACUCCUGACUUCGCAAUUUACUCCUUUGGAUCUUUCCAGAAACCGUCUUUGGCAGUUCUGAAACAAAGGCCACCUAGUGACCAAACACAAAACAAAAAACACUUGGAAAUCAUCAUUUCUCGAAAAGACUUUUGUUUUGAAAGAGACAAUA
rnacentral:antisense_RNA from 1 species